ACGCASCGAUGCCGCGUGUGCGAUGAAGGCCUUUGGGUCGUAAAGCACUGUCAACGGGGACGAACGAUGCAUGCUGAAUAGGUAUGUGUCUUGACGGUACCCGUGGAGGAAGCACCGGCUAACUCUGUGCCAGCAGCCGCGGUAAUACAGAGGGUGCAAACGUUGCUCGGAAUUACUGGGCGUAAAGCGCGCGUAGGCGGUUUGUUAAGUGGGAUGUGAAAGCCCCGGGCUUAACCUGGGAACUGCAUUCCAAACUGGCAGACUCGAGUAUGGUAGAGGGAGGUAGAAUUUCCUGUGUASCGGUGAAAUGCGUAGAUAUAGGAAGGAAUACCGGUGGCGAAGGCGGCCUCCUGGACCAAUACUGACGCUGAGGUGCGAAAGCGUGGGGAGCAAAUAGGAUUAGAUACCCUGGUAGUCCACGCCGUAAACGAUGAGAACUAGCCGUUGGGCU
rnacentral:rRNA from 1 species